rnacentral:rRNA from 1 species
GACGAACGCUGGCGGCGUGCUUAACACAUGCAAGUCGAACGAAGUGGCGCACGGGUGAGUAACGCGUAAUCAACCUGCCCUUCAGAGGGGGACAACAGUUGGAAACGACUGCUAAUACCGCAUACUGAAGGAGGGGAUUGCGUCUGAUUAGCUAGUUGGAGGGGUAACGACCCACCAAGGCGAAGAUCAGUAGGCGGUCUGGGAGGAGGAACGGCCACAAUUGGACUGGGACAAGGGCCAGACUCCCACGGGAGGCAGCAGGGGGGAAACUUCCGCAAUGGAGGAAAGUCUUACGGAGCAAAGCCGCGUGAGUGAUGACGGCCUUCGGGUUGUAAAGCUCUGUUAAUCGGGACGCGGUACCGGAAUAGAAAGCCACGGCUAACUACGUGCCAGCAGCCGCGGUAAUUC